rnacentral:rRNA from 1 species
GACGAACGCUGGCGGCGUGCUUAACACAUGCAAGUCGAACGGUGAGGCCCCAGCUUGCUGGGGUACACGAGUGGCGAACGGGUGAGUAACACGUGGGUGACCUGCCCCGCACUUCGGGAUAAGCCUGGGAAACUGGGUCUAAUACCGGAUAGGACCGCACCGUGAGGGUGUGGUGGAAAGUUUUUCGGUGUGGGAUGGGCCCGCGGCCUAUCAGCUUGUUGGUGGGGUAAUGGCCUACCAAGGCGGCGACGGGUAGCCGGCCUGAGAGGGUGGACGGCCACAUUGGGACUGAGACACGGCCCAGACUCCUACGGGAGGCAGCAGUGGGGAAUAUUGCACAAUGGGCGGAAGCCUGAUGCAGCGACGCCGCGUGGGGGAUGACGGCCUUCGGGUUGUAAACUCCUUUCACCAUCGACGAAGGUUUUCUGACGGUAGAUGGAGAAGAAGCACCGGCUAACUACGUG